AUUGAACGCUGGCGGCAGGCCUAACACAUGCAAGUCGAACGAGUGGCGGACGGGUGAGUAAUGUCUGGGAAACUGCCUGAUGGAGGGGGAUACCUACUGGAAACGGUAGCUAAUACCGCAUACCAUCGGAUGUGCCCAGAGGGGAUUAGCUUGUUGGUGGGGUAACGGCUCACCAGGGCGCCGAUCCCUAGCUGGUCUGAGAGGAUUACCAGCACGACUGGAAAUGAUACAAGGUCCAGACUCCGACGUGCGGCAGCAGUGGGGAAUAGUGCAAAAUGGGCUCAAGCCGGAUGCAGCCAUGCCGCGUGUAUGAAGAAGGCCUUCGGGUUGUAAAGUACUUGCAGCGGGGAGGCGUUACCCGCAGAAGAAGCACAGGCUAACUCCGUGCCAGCAGAGGCGGUAAUUA
rnacentral:rRNA from 1 species